GUUCGAAGGUGCAGUUCUAUGGCAUUUGGAAGAAGGUCCUGAAACCUCCUCUCCCCUUGGAUGUACGUGGAGUGGAUUUUACUGUCACUCUCUUCAAUGCACUUCCAUCUCUUUUUCCUUCAAAAACUACACCACCAAAGCGGCUGGGAAGUGCCAGUGAGGCUCUCCUUCAUAUCCUCAAGCCAGGUGAAGAUGCAAUGCUAUACCUGGAGAAGCGGCCUCUCUCCUCCCCAGUGCUGCUUUUUGAUGGAACAACCAGCAUUGUUGCUGUAGGAAACAUACCAGUGACCACUCUCCCCUUGGAGGAUUUCUGGGAAGGAAUGUUGGUGUUGAUGGCAUAUUACUACACCUUGCACUUAACAUACCCAAAAUGUGUUGCAACGGUCCUCUCUGUCAUACAAACUGAGGUAAUCACUGAUGCCAUCCAUGAUCAAGAUGCCACUAGUGCAUAUAAGAAAGCAAUAGCUGAGU